GACGUAGGGGGCCAGCGUUGCUCGGAAUUACUGGGCGUAAAGGGUCCGUAGGCGGUGCGGUAAGUCGGGAGUGAAAUCUCUGGGCUUAACUCAGAGGCUGCUUCCGAAACUACCGUGCUAGAGUGCGAGAGAGGCAAGUGGAAUUGCGGGUGUAGCGGUGAAAUGCGUAGAUAUCCGCAGGAACAUCCGAGGCGAAAGCGGCUCGCUGGAUCACAACUGACGCUGAGGGACGAAAGCUAGGGGAGCAAACAGG
rnacentral:rRNA from 1 species